UGAACGCUGGCGGCGUGCCUACUACAUGCACAUCGAGCGAACAGACGAGGAGCUUGCUCCUCUGACGUUAGCGGCGGACGGGUGAGUAACACGUGGAUAACCUACCUAUAAGACUGGGAUAACUUCGGGAAACCGGAGCUAAUACCGGAUAAUAUAUUGAACCGCAUGGUUCAAUAGUGAAAGACGGUUUUGCUGUCACUUAUAGAUGGAUCCGCGCCGCAUUAGCUAGUUGGUAAGGUAACGGCUUACCAAGGCAACGAUGCGUAGCCGACCUGAGAGGGUGAUCGGCCACACUGGAACUGAGACACGGUCCAGACUCCUACGGGAGGCAGCAGUAGGGAAUCUUCCGCAAUGGGCGAAAGCCUGACGGAGCAACGCCGCGUGAGUGAUGAAGGUCUUCGGAUCGUAAAACUCUGUUAUUAGGGAAGAACAAAUGUGUAAGUAACUAUGCACGUCUUGACGGUACCUAAUCAGAAAGCCACGGCUAACUACGUG
rnacentral:rRNA from 1 species